UACGGAGGGGGCUAGCGUUGUUCGGAAUUACUGGGCGUAAAGCGCACGUAGGCGGCUUUGUAAGUUAGAGGUGAAAGCCCGGGGCUCAACUCCGGAAUUGCCUUUAAGACUGCAUCGCUAGAAUUGUGGAGAGGUAAGUGGAAUUCCUAGUGUAGAGGUGAAAUUCGUAGAUAUUAGGAAGAACACCAGUGGCGGAAGGCGGCUCACUGGCCCCGGUACUGACGCUGAGGCGGCGAAAGCGUGGGGAGCAAACAGG
rnacentral:rRNA from 1 species